AUUGAACGCUGGCGGCAGGCCUAACACAUGCAAGUCGAGCGGUAACACAGAGGAGCUUGCUCCUUGGGUGACGAGCGGCGGACGGGUGAGUAAUGCCUGGGGAUCUGCCCGAUAGAGGGGGAUAACUACGGGAAACUGUAGCUAAUACCGCAUAACGUCUACGGACCAAAGUGGGGGCUCUUCGGACCUCAUGCUAUCGGAUGAACCCAGGUGGGAUUAGCUAGUUGGUGAGGUAAUGGCUCACCAAGGCGACGAUCUCUAACUGGUUUGAGAGAAUGGCCAGUCACACUGGAACUGAGACACGGUCCAGACUCCUACGGGAGGCAGCAGUGGGGAAUAUUGCACAAUGGGCGCAAGCCUGAUGCAGCCAUGCCGCGUGUGUGAAGAAGGCCUUCGGGUUGUAAAGCACUUUCAGCGGGGAGGAAGGGCUACUAGUUAAUACCUAGUGGCAUUGACGUUACUCGCAGAAGAAGCACCGGCUAACUUCGUGCCAGCCGCCGCUGUAACAC
rnacentral:rRNA from 1 species